rnacentral:rRNA from 1 species
GAUGAACGCUGGCGGCGUGCCUAAUACAUGCAAGUCGAGCGAACAGAUGAGGAGCUUGCUCCUCUGACGUUAGCGGCGGACGGGUGAGUAACACGUGGAUAACCUACCUAUAAGACUGGGAUAACUUCGGGAAACCGGAGCUAAUACCGGAUAAUAUAUUGAACCGCAUGGUUCAAUAGUGAAAGACGGUUUUGCUGUCACUACAGAUGGAUCCGCGCCGCAUUAGCUAGUUGGUAAGGUAACGGCUUACCAAGGCAACGAUGCGUAGCCGACCUGAGAGGGUGAUCGGCCACACUGGAACUGAGACACGGUCCAGACUCCUACGGGAGGCAGCAGUAGGGAAUCUUCCGCAAUGGGCGAAAGCCUGACGGAGCAACGCCGCGUGAGUGAUGAAGGUCUUCGGAUCGUAAAACUCUGUUAUUAGGGAAGAACAAAUGUGUAAGUAACUAUGCACGUCUUGACGGUACCUAAUCAGAAAGCCACGGCUAACUACGUG